rnacentral:rRNA from 1 species
UACGUAGGGGGCUAGCGUUGUCCGGAAUCAUUGGGCGUAAAGAGCGUGUAGGCGGCCCGGUAAGUCCGCUGUAAAAGUCAAAGGCUCAACCUUUGAAUGUCAGUGGAUACUGCCGGGCUAGAGUCCGGAAGAGGCGAGUGGAACUCCUGGUGUAGCGGUGGAAUGCGCAGAUAUCAGGAAGAACACCAACGGCGAAGGCAGCUCGCUGGGACGGUACUGACGCUGAGACGCGAAAGCGUGGGGAGGCGAACAGG